rnacentral:rRNA from 1 species
UACGGGGGGGUAAGCGUUGUUCGGAAUUACUGGGCGUAAAGGGCUCGUAGGCGGCCAACUAAGUCAGACGUGAAAUCCCUCAGCUUAACUGGGGAACUGCGUCUGAUACUGGAUGGCUUGGAUUCGGGAGAGGAAUGCGGAAUUCCAGGUGUAGCGGUGAAAUGCGUAGAUAUCUGGAGGAACACCGGUGGCGAAGGCGGCAUUCUGGACCGACAUUGACGCUGAGGAGCGAAAGCCAGGGGAGCAAACGGG